rnacentral:rRNA from 1 species
UACGAAAGGGGCUAGCGUUGCUCGGAAUCACUGGGCGUAAAGGGUGCGUAGGCGGGUCUUAAGUCAGAGGUGAAAUCCUGGAGCUCAACUCCAGAACUGCCUUUGAUACUGAGGAUCUUGAGUUCGGGAGAGGUGAGUGGAACUGCGAGUGUAGAGGUGAAAUUCGUAGAUAUUCGCAAGAACACCAGUGGCGAAGGCGGCUUACUGGUCCGGUUCUGGACGCUGAGGCACGGAAAAGCGUGGGGGAGCAAACAGG